rnacentral:tRNA from 3 species
GGAAGAAGAUCUGAUCAGGGAUCAGGCCUGUUUGGAAAACAGUGCGCACCCUCCGGGGUGUGAGGUUCGAGUCCUCCUUCUUCCG